rnacentral:rRNA from 1 species
CGUAGGGUGCGAGCGUUGUCCGGAUUUAUUGGGCGUAAAGAGCUCGUAGGUGGUUUGUUGCGUCGGGAGUGAAAACACACAGCUCAACUGUGUGCUUGCUUUCGAUACGGGCAGACUUGAGGGAUGUAGGGGAGAACGGAAUUCCUGGUGGAGCGGUGGAAUGCGCAGAUAUCAGGAGGAACUCCGGUGGCAAAGGCGGUUCUCUGGACAUUUCCUGACGCUGAGGAGCGAAAGCGUGGGGAGCAAACAGGCUUAGAUA